UACGUAGGUGGCAAGCGUUGUCCGGAUUUACUGGGCGUAAAGAGCGCGCAGGCGGUCGUUCAAGUCGAGUGUGAAAGCCCCCGGCUCAACUGGGGAGGGUCACUCGAUACUGAUCGACUCGAAGGCAGGAGAGGGAAGCGGAAUUCCCGGUGUAGUGGUGGAAAUGCGUAGAUAUCGGGGAGGAACACCAGUGGCGAAGGCGGCUUUCUGGCCUGUUCUUGACGCUGAGGCGCGAAAGCUAGGGUAGCAAACGGG
rnacentral:rRNA from 1 species